rnacentral:rRNA from 1 species
AUACAUGCAAGUCGAACGGCAGCACGGGUAGCAAUACCUGGUGGCGAGUGGCGCACGGGUGCGUAACGCGUAUGCAAUCUACCUAUAACUGGGGAAUAGCCUUCCGAAAGGAAGAUUAAAACCGCAUAAUAUCACGAAGCGGCAUCGUUUUGUGAUCAAAACUUCGGUGGUUAUAGAUGAGCAUGCGUGACAUUAGCUAGUUGGUGAGGUAACGGCUCACCAAGGCUACGAUGUCUAGGGGGUCUGAGAGGAUGAUCCCCCACACUGGUACUGAGACACGGACCAGACUCCUACGGGAGGCAGCAGUAAGGAAUAUUGGACAAUGGCCGCAAGGCUGAUCCAGCCAUGCCGCGUGCAGGAUGAAGGUGCUCUGCAUUGUAAACUGCUUUUGUUUGGGAAUAAACCCCUCUACGUGUAGAGGGCUGAAUGUACCAAAAGAAUAAGGGACGGCUAACUUCGUGCCAGCAGCCGCGGUAAUACGAAGGUCCCGAGCGUUAUCCGGAUUUAUUGGGUUUAAAGGGUGCGUAGGCGGGUUAUUAAGUCAGUGGUGAAAGCCUACAGCUUAACUGUAGAAUUGCCAUUGAUACUGAUGAUCUUGGGUAUGAUUGAGGUGGGCGGAAUGUGUCAUGUAGCGGUGAAAUGCUUAGAUAUGACACAGAACACCGAUUGCGAAGGCAGCUCACUAAGUCAUAACUGACGCUGAUGCACGAAAGCGUGGGGAGCAAACAGGAUUAGAUACCCUGGUAGUCCACGCCCUAAACGAUGAUCACUCGAUGUGUGCGAUACACUGUACGCGUCUGAGCGAAAGCAUUAAGUGAUCCACCUGGGGAGUACGACCGCAAGGUUGAAACUCAAAGGAAUUGACGGGGGCCCGCACAAGCGGAGGAGCAUGUGGUUUAAUUCGAUGAUACGCGAGGAACCUUACCAGGGCUUGAAAGUUAGUGAAGGAUGUGGAAACAUGUCCGUCAGCAAUGACACGAAACUAGGUGCUGCAUGGCUGUCGUCAGCUCGUGCC